CGAAAGCCUGUCCCAGUUCGGACUGGAGUCUGNAACCCGACUCCACGAAGUUGGAUUCGCUAGUAAUCGCGCAUCAGCCAUGGCGCGGUGAAUACGUUCCCGGGCCUUGUACACACCGCCCGUCAAGCCAUGGGAGCCGGGGGCGCCUGAAGUCCGGGACCGCGAGGACCGGCCUAGGGCGAAACUGGUAACUGGGGCUAAGUCGUAACAAGGUAAC
rnacentral:rRNA from 1 species